AUACGUAGGUGGCAAGCGUUGUCCGGAUUUAUUGGGCGUAAAGCGCGCGCAGGCGGUUUCUUAAGUCUGAUGUGAAAUCUUGCGGCUCAACCGCAAGCGGUCAUUGGAAACUGGGAGACUUGAGUACAGAAGAGGAGAGUGGAAUUCCACGUGUAGCGGUGAAAUGCGUAGAGAUGUGGAGGAACACCAGUGGCGAAGGCGACUCUCUGGUCUGUAACUGACGCUGAGGCGCGAAAGCGUGGGGAGCAAACAGGAUUAGAUACCCUGGUAGUCCACGCCGUAAACGAUGAGUGCUAGGUGUUAGGGGUUUCGAUGCCCUUAGUGCCGAAGUAAACACAUUAAGCACUCCGCCUGGGGAGUACGGCCGCAAGGCUGAA
rnacentral:rRNA from 1 species